AUACGGAGGAUCCGAGCGUUAUCCGGAUUUAUUGGGUUUAAAGGGUGCGCAGGCGGCCAUUUAAGUCAGCGGUUAAAUCGUGGGGCUCAACCCCAUUCUGCCGUUGAUACUGGGUGGCUUGAUUGCGGUCGAGGUUGGCGGAAUUCGUUGUGUCGCGGUGAAAUGCAUAGAUAUGACGAAGAACACCGAUUGCGUAGGCAGCUGACCAGACCGCAAAUGACGCUCAUGCACGAAAGUGCGGGGAUCGAACAGGAUUAGAUACCCUGGUAGUCCGCACAGUAAACGAUGAAUACUUGUUUUCGGCGAUAUAAUGUCGGAGGCAAAGCGAAAGCGAUAAGUAUUCCACCUGGGGAGUACGCCGGCAACGGUGAAACUCAAAGGAAUUGACGGGG
rnacentral:rRNA from 1 species